rnacentral:rRNA from 1 species
CCUACGGGUGGCUGCAGUGGGGAAUAUUGCACAAUGGGGGAAACCCUGAUGCAGCGACGCCGCGUGAAGGAAGAAGUAUUUCGGUGUGUAAACUUCUAUCAGCAGGGGAGAAAAUGACGUUACCUGACUAAGAAGCCACGGCUAACUACGUGCCAGCACCCGCGGUAAUACGUAGGGGGCAAGCGUUAUCCGGAUGUACUGGGUGUAAAGGGAGCGUAGGCGGUUUAGCAAGUCAGAAGUGAAAGCCCGGGGCUCAACUCCGGGACUGCUUUUGACACUGUUGCACUAGAUUGCAGGAGAGGCAAGUGGAAUUCGUAGUGUAGCGGUGAAAUGCGUAGAUAUUAGGAGGAACACCAGUGGCGAAGGCGGCUUACUGGACUGUAAAUGACGCUGAGGCUCGAAAGCGUGGGGAGCAAACAGGAUUAGAUACCCGGGUAGUC